AACACAUGCAAGUCGAACGAUGAUCCCAGCUUGCUGGGGGAUUAGUGGCGAACGGGUGAGUAACACGUGAGUAACCUGCCCUUGACUCUGGGAUAAGCCUGGGAAACUGGGUCUAAUACCGGAUAUGACUGUCUGACGCAUGUCAGGUGGUGGAAAGCUUUUGUGGUUUUGGAUGGACCCGCGGCCUAUCAGCUUGUUGGUGGGGUAAUGGCCUACCAAGGCGACGACGGGUAGCCGGCCUGAGAGGGUGACCGGCCACACUGGGACUGAGACACGGCCCAGACUCCUACGGGAGGCAGCAGUGGGGAAUAUUGCACAAUGGGCGCAAGCCUGAUGCAGCGACGCCGCGUGAGGGAUGACGGCCUUCGGGUUGUAAACCUCUUUUCAGUAGGGAAGAAGCGAAAGUGACGGUACCUGCAGAAGAAGCGCCGGCUAACUACGUGCCAGCAGCCGCGGUAAUACGUAGGGCGCAAGCGUUAUCCGGAAUUAUUGGGCGUAAAGAGCUCGUAGGCGGUUUGUCGCGUCUGCUGUGAAAGACCGGGGCUCAACUCCGGUUCUGCAGUGGGUACGGGCAGACUAGAGUGCAGUAGGGGAGACUGGAAUUCCUGGUGUAGCGGUGAAAUGCGCAGAUAUCAGGAGGAACACCGAUGGCGAAGGCAGGUCUCUGGGCUGUAACUGACGCUGAGGAGCGAAAGCAUGGGGAGCGAACAGGAUUAGAUACCCUGGUAGUCCAUGCCGUAAACGUUGGGCACUAGGUGUGGGGGACAUUCCACGUUUUCCGCGCCGUAGCUAACGCAUUAAGUGCCCCGCCUGGGGAGUACGGCCGCAAGGCUAAAACUCAAAGGAAUUGACGGGGGCCCGCACAAGCGGCGGAGCAUGCGGAUUAAUUCGAUGCAACGCGAAGAACCUUACCAAGGCUUGACAUGAACCGGAAAGACCUGGACACAGGUGCCCCGCUUGCGGUCGGUUUACAGGUGGUGCAUGGUUGUCGUCAGCUCGUGUCGUGAGAAUGUUUGGUGUUUCCGCACGAGUU
rnacentral:rRNA from 1 species